rnacentral:tRNA from 1 species
GAACUAUAGCUCAGUUGGUUAGAGCGCUACGUUGACAUCGUAGAGGCCGAUGGUUCGAGUCCAUUUAGUUCC